AAAAAAAAAAAGAAAAUAAAGAAAGAAAAAAGAGUUACUGUGUUGCGUAGGUAGUAGUGGAGGGUAGUGGAAUAUGGAGUUUUAAGUAGUGAUUUCGAAUGAUUUUAUUGGUUCUCUAUGCUUUUCAUAAGAUAAGGACUCAUCCAUCAAGGAAUCAGCUGUCACAGCUGAUAUGCAUACAGACAGAGAGAAAGAGGGUCCUUGGUGGGG
rnacentral:misc_RNA from 1 species